AACGAACGCUGGCGGCAGGCUUAACACAUGCAAGUCGAGCGCCCCGCAAGGGGAGCGGCAGACGGGUGAGUAACGCGUGGGAACGUACCUUUUGCUACGGAAUAACUCAGGGAAACUUGUGCUAAUACCGUAUGUGCCCUUCGGGGGAAAGAUUUAUCGGCAAAGGAUCGGCCCGCGUUGGAUUAGCUAGUUGGUGAGGUAAAGGCUCACCAAGGCGACGAUCCAUAGCUGGUCUGAGAGGAUGAUCAGCCACACUGGGACUGAGACACGGCCCAGACUCCUACGGGAGGCAGCAGUGGGGAAUAUUGGACAAUGGGCGCAAGCCUGAUCCAGCCAUGCCGCGUGAGUGAUGAAGGCCCUAGGGUUGUAAAGCUCUUUCACCGGUGAAGAUAAUGACGGUAACCGGAGAAGAAGCCCCGGCUAACUUCGUGCCAG
rnacentral:rRNA from 1 species